CCACAACUCCUGUACUCAGGGUCUGGCCACGCCUCCUGCACAGAGCAUGGAACUACAGUGACGCACUAUGUGGAAAUUAGAUGAAAUGUCAGUGAUUUAUGGAAAAACAAAUAAGCAUGCGUCUAUCACUGUGCAGUCGUACCGUCUAUUCUGCGUGCAGUUCUGAGAACUGAACAGUCGCGUAACGUACUGUUCAAUACAAAUACAUGUGUUGCGACACCCCUAAUAACAUAUAUAAAAACACACGCACCAAGGAAAGGCACACGUAAGAUAUAAUUGGAAAAAGCAGAUUCAGACAUUACACCCAUUUAGUGAUCCCUUCACUGGCUUCCUGUCCCAGUGAGAUCAGAUUUUAAGGUUCUGCUACUAGUCUAUAAAAUUGUUCAAGGACUGGCACCUCCCUAUCUAGCUGACCUAAUUAAACCUUACGUACC